rnacentral:other from 1 species
UUACCUGAGAUGUUCGCCAGAGGGUUACGUCCCUGAGCCGAUAUUUAUAUUUUUAGAGUUGGUUUCUCAGCUGUUGGUGUGCAGGCUUAGUUUUACUAAGAAGCCUAAAAACGGUUAUAGCUAGCUCCCUUGAACCGUCGGGUUCAAGGACCGACCACCCACAACGGCAUCUCGGGGCU